GACGUAGGGCGCGAGCGUUGUCCGGAUUUAUUGGGCGUAAAGAGCUCGUAGGCGGCUUGUUGCGUCGACUGUGAAAACCCGCGGCUUAACUGCGGGCUUGCAGUUGAUACGGGCAGGCUAGAGUUCGGAAGAGGCGAGUGGAAUUCCCGGUGUAGCGGUGAAAUGCGCAGAUAUCAGGAGGAACACCCGUGGCGAAAGCGGCUCUCUGGGACGGUACUGACGCUGAGACGCGAAAGCGUGGGGAGCAAACAGG
rnacentral:rRNA from 1 species